rnacentral:rRNA from 1 species
UACGUAGGGGGCAAGCGUUGUCCGGAAUCAUUGGGCGUAGAGCGCGUGUAGGCGGCUCGAUAAGUCUGCUGUGAAAGUUCAGGGCUCAACCCUGAAAUGCCGGUGGAAACUGUCGAGCUAGAGUCCGGAAGAGGCGAGUGGAAUUCCUGGUGUAGCGGUGAAAUGCGCAGAUAUCAGGAGGAACACCAAUGGCGAAGGCAGCUCGCUGGGACGGUACUGACGCUGAGACGCGACAGCGUGGGGAGCAAACAGG